AAACCAGCACCUCAAGUGGUCAGGAGGAUUAUUGGGCCUAAAGCAUCCGUAGCCUGUUCUAUAAGUUUCCGGUUAAAUCCAUUAGCUCAACUAAUGGGCUGCCGAAAAUACUGUAGAACUAGGGAGUGGGAGAGGUAGACGGUAUUCGGUAGGAAGGGGUAAAAUCCUUUGAUCUAUUGAGGACCACCUGUGGCGAAGGCGGUCUACCAGAACACGUUCGACGGUGAGGGAUGAAAGCUGGGGGAGCAAACCGGAUUAGAAACCCCAGUAGUCC
rnacentral:rRNA from 1 species